UAGCCACGGUAAUACCAGCUCUCCGAGUGGUGGGGACGUUUAUUGGGCUUAAAGCAUCCGUAGCCGGCUGGGCAAGUCUCCCUGUUAAAUCUAACGAUUCAAUCGUUGGAUGGCGGGGAGUACUGCUCGGCUAGGGGGCGGGGAGAGGCCGACGGUAUUCCCGGGGUAGGGUGAAAUCCUAUAAUCCCGGGAGGACCACCAGUGGCGAAGGC
rnacentral:rRNA from 1 species